rnacentral:rRNA from 1 species
AGCAGCAGUGAGGAAUUUUGCGCAAUGGGGGAAACCCUGACGCAGCAACGCCGCGUGAGUGAAGAAGGCCUUCGGGUCGUAAAGCUCUGUCAACGGGGAAGAAAUUAUGGGGGAUUAAUACCAUUUCAUAUUGACGGUACCUGGAAAGGAAGCACCGGCUAACUCCGUGCCAGCAGCCGCGGUAAUACGGAGGGUGCAAGCGUUAUUCGGAAUUAUUGGGCGUAAAGGGCGCGUAGGCGGCCUGUUAAGUCAGAUGUGAAAUCCCGGGGCUUAACCCCGGAAGUGCAUUUGAUACUGGUGGGCUUGAGUAUGGGAGAGGAAAGCGGAAUUCCUGGUGUAGAGGUGAAAUUCGUAGAUAUCAGGAGGAACACCGGUGGCGAAGGCGGCUUCCUGGACCAAUACUGACGCUGAGGCGCGAAGGCGUGGGUAGCAAACAGGAUUAGAUACCCUGGUAGUCCACGCAGUAAACGUUGAUCACUAGGUGUAGCGGGUAUUGACCCCUGCUGUGCCGCAGCUAACGCAUUAAGUGAUCCGCCUGGGGAGUACGAUCGCAAGAUUAAAACUCAAAGGAAUUGACGGGGGCCCGCACAAGCGGUGGAACAUGUGGUUUAAUUCGACGCAACGCGAAAAACCUUACCUGGGUUUGACAUCCCGGGAAUCUGUAUGAAAAAAGGGAGUGCCCUUCGGGGAGCCCGAAGACGGUGCUGCAUGGCUGUCAUCAGCUCGUGUCGUGAGAUGUUGGGUUAAGUCCCGCAACGAGCGCAACCCUUAUCUUCAGUUACAACCCUCCAGGGGGGA